rnacentral:rRNA from 1 species
UUAAGCGACUAAGCGUACACGGUGGAUGCCCUGGCAGUCAGAGGCGAUGAAGGACGUGCUAAUCUGCGAUAAGCGUCGGUAAGGUGAUAUGAACCGUUAUAACCGGCGAUUUCCGAAUGGGGAAACCCAGUGUGUUUCGACACACUAUCAUUAACUGAAUCCAUAGGUUAAUGAGGCGAACCGGGGGAACUGAAACAUCUAAGUACCCCGAGGAAAAGAAAUCAACCGAGAUUCCCCCAGUAGCGGCGAGCGAACGGGGAGCAGCCCAGAGCCUGAAUCAGUGUGUGUGUUAGUGGAAGCGUCUGGAAAGGCGCGCGAUACAGGGUGACAGCCCCGUACACAAAAAUGCACAUACUGUGAGCUCGAUGAGUAGGGCGGGACACGUGGUAUCCUGUCUGAAUAUGGGGGGACCAUCCUCCAAGGCUAAAUACUCCUGACUGACCGAUAGUGAACCAGUACCGUGAGGGAAAGGCGAAAAGAACCCCGGCGAGGGGAGUGAAAAAGAACCUGAAACCGUGUACGUACAAGCAGUGGGAGCCUCUUAAUGGGGUGACUGCGUACCUUUUGUAUAAUGGGUCAGCGACUUAUAUUCUGUAGCAAGGUUAACCGAAUAGGGGAGCCGAAGGGAAACCGAGUCUUAACUGGGCGUUAAGUUGCAGGGUAUAGACCCGAAACCCGGUGAUCUAGCCAUGGGCAGGUUGAAGGUUGGGUAACACUAACUGGAGGACCGAACCGACUAAUGUUGAAAAAUUAGCGGAUGACUUGUGGCUGGGGGUGAAAGGCCAAUCAAACCGGGAGAUAGCUGGUUCUCCCCGAAAGCUAUUUAGGUAGCGCCUCGUGAAUUCAUCUCCGGGGGUAGAGCACUGUUUCGGCAAGGGGGUCAUCCCGACUUACCAACCCGAUGCAAACUGCGAAUACCGGAGAAUGUUAUCACGGGAGACACACGGCGGGUGCUAACGUCCGUCGUGAAGAGGGAAACAACCCAGACCGCCAGCUAAGGUCCCAAAGUCAUGGUUAAGUGGGAAACGAUGUGGGAAGGCCCAGACAGCCAGGAUGUUGGCUUAGAAGCAGCCAUCAUUUAAAGAAAGCGUAAUAGCUCACUGGUCGAGUCGGCCUGCGCGGAAGAUGUAACGGGGCUAAACCAUGCACCGAAGCUGCGGCAGCGACACUAUGUGUUGUUGGGUAGGGGAGCGUUCUGUAAGCCUGUGAAGGUGUACUGUGAGGUAUGCUGGAGGUAUCAGAAGUGCGAAUGCUGACAUAAGUAACGAUAAAGCGGGUGAAAAGCCCGCUCGCCGGAAGACCAAGGGUUCCUGUCCAACGUUAAUCGGGGCAGGGUGAGUCGACCCCUAAGGCGAGGCCGAAAGGCGUAGUCGAUGGGAAACAGGUUAAUAUUCCUGUACUUGGUGUUACUGCGAAGGGGGGACGGAGAAGGCUAUGUUGGCCGGGCGACGGUUGUCCCGGUUUAAGCGUGUAGGCUGGUUUUCCAGGCAAAUCCGGAAAAUCAAGGCUGAGGCGUGAUGACGAGGCACUACGGUGCUGAAGCAACAAAUGCCCUGCUUCCAGGAAAAGCCUCUAAGCAUCAGGUAACAUCAAAUCGUACCCCAAACCGACACAGGUGGUCAGGUAGAGAAUACCAAGGCGCUUGAGAGAACUCGGGUGAAGGAACUAGGCAAAAUGGUGCCGUAACUUCGGGAGAAGGCACGCUGAUAUGUAGGUGAAGUCCCUUGCGGAUGGAGCUGAAAUCAGUCGAAGAUACCAGCUGGCUGCAACUGUUUAUUAAAAACACAGCACUGUGCAAACACGAAAGUGGACGUAUACGGUGUGACGCCUGCCCGGUGCCGGAAGGUUAAUUGAUGGGGUUAGCGGUAACGCGAAGCUCUUGAUCGAAGCCCCGGUAAACGGCGGCCGUAACUAUAACGGUCCUAAGGUAGCGAAAUUCCUUGUCGGGU